AGGACACUGGCCCCGCGCUCAGAAGAGCCCUGUGCUUGGCUGACUGCUCUGCUUUGCCAUCUUGAAAUUCUGAAUGGUUUUUGAACAAGGGACCCAGCAUUCUCAUUUUGCGCUGGACCCCACAGAUUAUGUCGCCAUGCUGUGAGUAGGAGACCAUCAGGCAGAGAAGAAGGGGUACUUUGGAAGCAAAAGCGCCCUGAGUGCACCGAGGUGUGCUGGAGCUCGAAACGCAGCCUGCUCCGGGAGCAGUCAGCGGAGGCACAGAGUCUCCAGUGGAAAGUUGUGUCCAGGAAACUGGUGGAAGCUCAAAGCGGAAAGCAGUCAGAGGCCCCCCCCAACCUGACGCGGGGGUCUGGACCUUACACGGCGGGUGCCCAGGAGCCUUCCAAACUUUGUCAAUCCGGGAGUGGUGACAUCAGAGGAUGGUGACAGGAUGGCCGGACUCACGAGCUGCAGUCCAGUCCUCCCCGCUCCCCGCUUUGGCCACUCGAUGAACCCCAGAGCCCAUCCUGCUCGGUACUUAGAACGGACGGAUGAAGGAAUGCGUGCAGCACGGCUUGAUGAGUGGUGUGUAGUCCCAG
rnacentral:lncRNA from 1 species